rnacentral:lncRNA from 1 species
AACAAAUAUAUGAAUGUAUAUUAUACCUAUACGUGAGAUAUGAAACCUAAUUAAAAGGUAGAAAAAACAUAACAUACCUACAAAUAAGACACAUUAAUCCGUGACAGGUUGAUUAUUAAAAAAAAAAGGUUAUAUAGGUAGAUAAAUAUAAUUAACCUGUGAUAUAGGUUAAUUAUAAAAUUAAAAAUAAAAUCUAUAAAUAGGGUUUAAAGCAGAAGAAGAAUGAGAAAUAACAAAAAGAUGAAUAAAAAGAAAUAAGCAAAGAUAUAAUUGGGAAGAAAUUUGAUUUUAACAAUAAAUCUUAUGAUUGAACAGAUAACUAUUGAUAAUUAAAUAAUUAAAUAUAACAAAUUGGACUUAUUUUAAUAAACUGGACUAUUCCUACUAUUGGUUCAAAAAUUGAACUUAUAUCAAGUUUCCCCUUUUAUUUAAUGGUGAUUUUUGUGAUUAUAAGUGACAAAAGAUAAAAAUAAAAAUUAAAGAGUGGCAAUCGCUUUGAAUACGUGCCUUGAAAACGUAAAUAUGAAUUCUAGUGACAAGGAUUUGUCCCAAUACGUAAAUAUGGAUGCUAACGAUAUAAACAAUGAAAUAAUAAAAAUAGCAUUUUUGUUUUUGUGAACACUCCAAUAAAUUUAGUUUUAGCAUUCUCUCUUCUUUGGGUUAUUGUUUUUCUUCGUGAAAAAAGACUAGGAUCCGGUACAGAGCUUAUUACUAAAUUUAUCAACAAAAAAACAUUUUAAAACAGUUACAUGGUGAAAAUUACCAACCAAACACAAGGUUGGCUAUAGUUAUGUGCUAAAUUGGCAAAACAAUAAUGUUAAAAUUAUGGUGGUUUUUUUUAUUUUGAAACUCCCGAAUAGAAGGUUUGCAUUCUCUUUUUUUAUUACAAGGGAAAUAUAAUCUAUAUACUAAAGCUGAAAAUACACUGAAAAUUUAAUCUAUACUUCCGAAAAUGCUCCUGCCUUAAUUGUGUAAUUUCGAUGUCAGUCCAAUUGAAAUCUGAUUGAAUCUGGACCGUUCAUUAUUUUUGGGCACUGUUUUAAGAAAUCAGUCCGUCCAUUUUUAUCUUCUUCUCCACUCUCUGCUGAACAUCAUUUUUUUCUCUAACACUGCGAUAACCACAAGCCCCACCCACGAACCCAGAUACUCCUAAAACAAUCACCAUUCUCAUCCUUUCGACCUCAUGAACUCAAGUCUGAGCCCAGUCUUACAUUCUAGGGCAAGAUUUCUUGGCUUGCAUGUACCAUUUGGUGAAGGUUUGAAGAAGGCUGAAGCUCAAUCUGUAACCCAGAUUCCGGCGAGAUUUUCAGGCGAAUCCGCUAGCUUCUGUCUUUUUGAAGCCCUCACAGUCAUCCAAUCACCAAAUCAUAGGUAUAUUUCGAUUCUACAGCUCUUAGGCUUUAUUUGACCGUCUGAGUCUUAUAGGUGAUUUUGGGUCUGUAUAUUGUGAUUGAUGUCGAAAUUUGGGGUUAAUAGAUUCUUCAGCUUAGAUUUGGAUCAUUUUUGGGUCUGCAUGUUGUAAUUGAUGUUAAAAUUCUAAACUUUUGACAAUCUCUAUUUGAUUCAUCGAAUUUUGCUCUAUAAAUGAUGUAAGAGUCAGUCUCCGAGGGGUUUAAGAGAGUUUUACAGGAGUUUACAUCUGCUGUAAUAAAUAUGAAAUUAAUAUUACUAAUUAAAAUUCAUACCUAACUGUACUGUCGUAAGAUAAAUCGAAAUAAUUGUUAGUAUUAUCAGCUUUUGGUUUGAUCUGUUAACUACAUUGGAAGAGGCAUGAAACUAUCGAAAUUACAGAGAAGAAGAAGAUGAAGGUUUAGAAGGAAAUCAAAGCUUGUAUUUGAUAGUUGAACAGAUUACAUAAAAUGAGAGAGAAUUUACAAUUUAUACUAGCCUACAAAGUAACUAACUCUAACCUUCUAACAAACUCUUACUAGACCAAUCUCCACCAUUCAAUCAUAAACCAAUCUCCACCAUACAUGUAUUAAUACUCCCCCUCAAUCUCAACUGGGUAUCCCAGUUUGAGAUUGCAGCAAAGUGAGUAUGAGAUAAACUGUUGAAUAUUGCAAUUUGAGACAUUCGCUUAUUGAUCUUUGCAAUCUCCAAAGUGGUCUACCCUGCACCCGGUCCAGACUCCAGUAUACGACUCUUCUGCUAUACUUGCCAAUCAUGUAUCAAAGUUUUGGCACUAAUGUUGAUUCACAUUAUCCUUUUCUUCUAAGCAGACAACCACAGUGGGGUAGCAGCAAUAGAAAUGAGAAUUUCCAGAAAGCAUAAAACCCAAAACCUCCAUCACUUGUGAAUACUCCAACUUGUUAAACAAUGCACCACUAUCUGAAACAGAAAGCACAGACAGAGCUAAACAUGCUAUCAAUGUCAUUACACCCAUUUUCUACGUCAUCAACCAUAUCAUCUUCUAUAUCAUCAACCACAAAUCAAAUAGUUUCCUCUUUGUGGACAGAUCAUUCUACAAACACUUGUCAUUAUACAAACUGAAAACUUUAGCAAGCGAACCAAUGGACUGAAGCCAUGACACUAUUCCUUUGCCUUUAACAUGAGCUUCACAAAGAACAUCAUCUUAUAAAGUUGUAACGUACCCUCAUGCCGGUUAUCACAAUUUCUUGCGGGAGUACCCUUCGUGGGAUUUACCGUUAACAACAUCAUUUAACAUUGGCUUCGGCCUUCAAAAUAGAAAAUUAACAAACUAUAGUGUGACAUCGGCCUUAACUAUAGUACCACGUGAUCGCCCUUUGUGGAUUUUACCAAAAAAACAACUACUUUUAACAGUGGCAUCGGCCUUCACAAUCAACUACUCUUAACAGUGGCUUUGGCCUUCACAAUUUUAACAACAGAAAAUCAACAUCUAUGUAGGAUUACCCUUCGUGGG